GACGAACGCUGGCGGCGUGCUUAACACAUGCAAGUCGAACGGAAAGGCCCUGCUUUUGUUGGGGGCUCGAGUGGCGAACGGGUGAGUAACACGUGAGUAGCCUGCCCUUGACUUUGGGAUAACUUCAGGAAACUGGGGCUAAUACCGGACAGGAGCUCCUGCUGCAUGGUGGGGGUUGGAAAGUUUCGGCGGUUGGGGAUGGACUCGCGGCUUAUCCGCUUGUUGGUGGGGUAGUGGCUUACCAAGGCUUUGACGGGUAGCCGGCCUGAGAGGGUGACCGGCCCCAUUAGGACUGAGAUACGGCGCAGACUCCUACGGGGGGCAGCAGUGGGGAAUAUUGCACAAUGGGCGGAAGCCUGAUGCAGCAACGCCGCGUGCGGGAUGACGGCCUUCGGGUUGUAAACCGCUUUCGCCUGUGACGAAGCGUGAGUGACGGUAAUGGGUAAAGAAGCACCGGCUAACUACGUG
rnacentral:rRNA from 1 species